CUAACGAGGGGGAGGGGGUCUGAAACGAAGGUUGCGCAUGAAAAACGAAACGCUGAAAAACAAAAAGGAAACAAAAAAAAGUUGAACGAAAAGAUGACGAAAAAAGGGAGAUAACGAAGGAGGACUGAAAACGAAAAAAAAGGAAAAGCUGAAAGUGGCAGCUGAAAAAGCUGCGCAAAAACAGAGAAACCUGACCCCCCUUGCAUCGUCUUCUUCACGACCCCCCACCCCCCUUCGCGUGGCCUUCUCCAAACGACCCCUUUCCCCACUGGUCUUCUUCUUCAUUCUGAUAGCUGCUCCCAGCAGCCUAACGCCCCAUCACACCUCGCCAGCCCGUCGACGACUCUUGCUACUCCGUCCAGUGACUCCUCGCCGGAAACCAACCCCACCGGAAAAACCAGAACUUAUGCCAAGUGCUUUGCUGGAAAACGCAGCAACACAGCUAAGAAAACCAACCUAGACAGCCUGUUUCUACCCUGUUCUCACCCAGUCAAAGUUCUGUCCAUUUUUGAGUUCUCCGGCGAGCUUCAUGGUUGUCCGUGGUCAUUGUUCAUGGGUUCCGUUUCAGCUCCAUCCAUGGUUUGUCGUGUCUGAGUCUAACACUGCCUCAUAAGUAAGGUGCUGAUCCAUUUUGAGGUGUGGAUUUAUUUAUCGGAGUUGGAGCAUGACGAAGCCCUAGGACAUCUAGUCAGGAUCACUGCAUUCAGAAGUUGCUCGAGGAGUCAUUUUAUAUUUUUGAGUCAAUUGUUUAUGUUUUACUUUCUAGUCAUGUAUAGUAGUAUUCGGUCUUUUAGGUAAUGUUAGAGUUUGUAAUAGUCUAGUUAAAUUUGCCUAGUCUUUUGUUAUUGUAUUCCUUAUUUGGUAUUU